AUCCCAGCUCUUAUACCCUGAAAGCCAAAGGAGAGACAGAGGAAUGUCAGCUGGGCAUGGAGAAUGACUUUAGCUAGCUGGUCAGAUUUGAGGGAAUCAUGUGUAGUGUUAGGUGCAGGGGAUCCAAUGGGAUAUUACUUUCAAGGGUCCCCCAAAUAGACAGAUUAAGGCCUGUGCCAAUCCCUUGGAUUCCUACAAGGGAAGGGACUCUUUGGUUAGAGGCAUGACUGGAACUUAGGUGAACAAGUCACCCAGAGAAAAGGGGGAAAUUAACAUACACGUUCUUCUUUGAUAAUUGCUAACUGCCUUGAACAAUAUGAUGCAUUUCUUGCCAGCAUUUUGUUGUUCUAUUGUAAUGCUGAAAGUACAGUUUUUUAUCUAUCUGUCUGAAUAGGAUUGUGCUACAGUGGAAUUGCUUGCUAAACAAUAUUGAAGGUGCGAGGUAAGAGGAAACAAUACUAACCACUUAACCAUGAUCCAGUGUUCUUAUGUGGUACCCACCCCUCCCUUUGCUCUUUCCUCAAUACUGCUUGUCCUGAUCCAGACAUAGACACUGAGGUGCCUGUGUAAGCUAUUUACAUGUUUCUUUGGAGACAGAGUUUUAUUGAUAAUAGCCUCAUGUAGGCAAAGAAGGGGAUGGCCAGAAGUGCAUAUGCUGACUCUAAGGAAAACUGUUUACAGUACCAGGCUUGACUGGCUGCAUGGAACAUCUGUCUGAAAGCUGUAGGGCCAAUCUAUGAACUGCACCCUAUAAGAGAGGUUGUCUUUUGGCAAUAUGGCAGAGAGAAGUAAGGAAAGCAACUUACUCCAUCUGACUGUCUUUCUAACUCUUGAGUAUUGACAGAGGUCAGUUCUCGUAGAGAGAACUGAGAUAUAGAAAUAGAAUAAAUGAAUGAAAUGAAUGAGUAGAGAGAACUUGUUUGGCAUAUCUGCAUUGUUGGCAUGCGAAGCAAGCAUCCUAUGACACCAUCAUCCGGGCCAGAUCCGAUAUGCCUGCUGCCUAACCUUGCCAGCCUGAGUGACUCAAACCGGGAUUCCAUGUCUGAUUGCUGAAGCCUAGACAGGGUAAUUAUGCAGCUCCUUUUGCCUUUCUGGAAAUUCUUUCCACCUGGAAUCCUUCCCCUGCCCCCACUUGUCUGGGCUGCUUGAUUCCUAUCCUUCCCCGCCGUCCCCACGUCCCUUGCCUGGAUUCCACUUUUCUCCCUUUCCUCGCUCCCUGUUUUCAUCUAUGUCUGCUUCUCUCCCUUGCCAGUUGAAACUGUUGUUUUUAAUUGGUUAUGUGAAAUAGAAGCCAAAUCACAUGCAUCCAACAUCAGAGAAAGCGAGAAUUGUGCUUUGAACUCUGGUUGCUCAGAUGCUCCAGUUACGUUUCUGUUUUCUUACAAUAAAGCUUACAUUUCUUUAGUAGCCUUGGGACUGCUUCUCUCCCUCUCUAACUUCAGCCUGUCCCUGAGCCACAUCAGGAACUAGAAUUGUGGGGACUGCACUACCAGUUUCCCCUUCACUCUGGUGCCUGUUGAUUGACCAUGCAUAUGCACAGAAUGGGGGUGGCCUGCUGGUGGUAGCCAACAGUAGGCUCCAACAUACAUCUCACUUGCCCUCUCUGUGCUCUUCAAAUGGGAUUGGACCCCUCCAGAGCCCCUUGAGGUACCCUCCCCAGUCACAUAUGCCCCCGGCACUGCAUUGGUCUCUGUCCUCAAUGCCAGAGGCCUGACGGUUUCCCCCUCUUACCUGACCCAGGUGUGAGGACCACGCAGUGCUUCCCACCAACAUUGCUUGGUUUCCCACCCAACCAGUUGCUGUACCCAAAUGGUGUGCCAUCAGUCCAUCGCCAGUCACGCUGCUGUGGAGCAGAUAAAGGAAUGAUGCCAGUCAGUAAGUAUAGGGAGCCAGAUGCUACGAAAGGGAGGAAACCUGAUGGACAAAUGUCCCACCCGCAGUAUCCUUUACAUUGGAAUCCCAACUAGAACUGAAACAAGUUCUCUACUUAAAGAUUGCAUGCAAAGAUGGUAAUGCAUGGUCUUCUCAUUCCCUUUUCCCCAUUCCUUGUUAUGGAUGCAAUUAUAUUCUAAGGUUUGACGGAAUCAGUGCUUCUCAAAGGAAUUCCAGUGCAGGCCACAAGGGUUCUGGUGAGGCAGCCACUGAGUCCAUGUGCCAUGCAGGAACCAUGUGGAGUGAAUUCUCACCAUGUUCACGGUUGGCGUCCUCUGCAGCCCAAUCCACACAGAAUUCUCGUCCAUGUUUGCUUGAGACAGUUUUGCUCAAACAUUAACCGUGGGAAAAUACAAAAAGGGAGGGAGUGAUCAGACGCUUGGAAGGACUGAGGCUUCAAGGCUACUGCAUGACUCCAGGCUACUGAUGAAGACUCAAGGCUACUGAUGAAGGACCAGUCUGACUUUUACUAGGAGGAAUAAUGUGAAUAAGCAAAACAGUAGUUCUGUCUCCACUUACAGACAACAUUAUGCAGACUGAAUAAUAUAAACAAAAUGAUUGUUUUGAAUUAGGAGGGGUUGUUGAGCUAAUAGUAGCUAAUAAUGGUAGCUUUCCAUUAUUAUUGAGGUGCUCUGAGGCACACAGACAGAGAGAAGCAACUUAGAAUCAUGAGCUGACUUCAUUUUUCAAACACCCAUCCUAAAGGCUGUACUGUCUAAAGACUUGUGAAAUCUUUAAAGUUACUUUUAGAAAGCAAAGAUAGAGCCAGCCUUCCUAAAAGAACAGAAAUGUUUCAGAGAAGCCAGGAGAAGCCAAGAUACUUUAAGAGCAACUUUUUAAUGCAUACUAGAGCUAGCCUUUUGGGUCUGAGGAGGAGAGAAAGAGAAUUUGUCAAGCCUUGAUUUAUUAUGGAUUAUUAUUGAUUGUUUAAUUUCAAAGAAGAUCUGUUUUCAUCUAUGCAUUCCAUUUAAGGCAAACCUUUUUUGUCAUGGCAAGUUAUUCUUUGUAUGCAAGCCUUUUUCAAUGUAAAUUUGUUUUUCUCUUC